UACGAAGGGGGCUAGCGUUGCUCGGAAUCACUGGGCGUAAAGGGCUCGUAGGUGGCCAACUAAGUCAGACGUGAAAUCCCCAGGCUCAACUUGGGAACUGCGUCUGAUACUGGAUGGCUUGAAUUCGGGAGAGGGAUGCAGAAUUCCAGGUGUAGCGGUGAAAUGCGUAGAUAUCUGGAGGAAUACCGGCGGCGAAGGCGGCAUCCUGGACCGAGAUUGACACUGAUGAGCGAAAGCUAGGGGAGCAAACGGG
rnacentral:rRNA from 1 species